rnacentral:misc_RNA from 1 species
UGUAAGCUCUCCAGAAGACGAGAGGGA